rnacentral:lncRNA from 1 species
UGAGAAACCCUGAGAUAAACAUUAAACCAUAUAAUGUAAAAGCUCCUCCGCCAUCUUUACCAGACGUUUUACUGAUAACAUGUAGACCUACUGAUUAGUUUCCACUUUGAAAACUGCUGUCUGUCAGCAACUAAGCUCAUAUAACAGUUCUACUAACUACUACUAGUACUAUAUCUUACUCUGUCCUUUAGAAUGUAUUACUGUUCAGAAAUACUGAGAAAUACUCACUUUAUUUGUCAGUAAUCUCCAUAUAGCGUCUUCUGCUCUGUCGUCUCAAAAUGGAUUCUGUACAAAAGAACAACUUUACUUUCUGUUUCAAUCAGCCGCCUCCCCACCCUGAAAAUAAAGUGUUUUAUUGGUAUCUUCCACUAGAUGGCAGUAAACACCUGCUGUAACUAGAUUUAACAACUAUGUGUUUGGUUUCAUAAAGGCAGUGUCCCAGAGGAGGAGUGCUGAUAUGGUAUCAGGUCCUCCUCUCCAUGUAAUCUGAUUCAUUAUGAUCUAGGAUCAGGUCCUCCUCUCCAUGUAAUCUGAUUC